rnacentral:rRNA from 1 species
GACGAACGCUGGCGGCGUGCCUAAUACAUGCAAGUCGAGCGGACCAAAGGGAGCUUGCUCCUGGAGGUUAGCGGCGAACGGGUGAGUAACACGUGGGCAACCUGCCUGUAAGACUGGGAUAACAUCGAGAAAUCGGUGCUAAUACCGGAUAAUAAAAAGAACUGCAUGGUUCUUUUUUGAAAGAUGGUUUCGGCUAUCACUUACAGAUGGGCCCGCGGCGCAUUAGCUAGUUGGUGAGGUAACGGCUCACCAAGGCAACGAUGCGUAGCCGACCUGAGAGGGUGAUCGGCCACACUGGGACUGAGACACGGCCCAGACUCCUACGGGAGGCAGCAGUAGGGAAUCUUCCGCAAUGGACGAAAGUCUGACGGAGCAACGCCGCGUGAGUGAUGAAGGUUUUCGGAUCGUAAAACUCUGUUGUUAGGGAAGAACAAGUGCCGUUCGAAAGGGCGGCACCUUGACGGUACCUAACGAGAAAGCCACGGCUAACUACGUGCCAGCAGCCGCGGUAAAG